rnacentral:rRNA from 1 species
CCUGCGGAAGGAUCAUUACCGAGUGCAGGUCUGCCCCCGGGCAGGCCUAACCUCCCACCCGUGAAUACCUGACCAACGUUGCUUCGGCGGUGCGCCCCCCCCCGGGGGUAGCCGCCGGAGACCACACCGAACCUCCUGUCUUUAGUGUUGUCUGAGCUUGAUAGCAAACCUAUUAAAACUUUCAACAAUGGAUCUCUUGGUUCCGGCAUCGAUGAAGAACGCAGCGAACUGCGAUAAGUAAUGUGAAUUGCAGAAUUCAGUGAAUCAUCGAGUCUUUGAACGCACAUUGCGCCCCCUGGCAUUCCGGGGGGCAUGCCUGUCCGAGCGUCAUUGCUGCCCUUCAAGCCCGGCUUGUGUGUUGGGUCGUCGUCCCCCCCGGGGGACGGGCCCGAAAGGCAGCGGCGGCACCGCGUCCGGUCCUCGAGCGUAUGGGGCUUUGUCACCCGCUCGAUUAGGGCCGGCCGGGCGCCAGCCGGCGUCUCCAACCUUCUAUUUUACCAGGUUGACCUCGGAUCAGGUAGGGAUACCCGCUGAACUUAAGCAUAUCAAU